GUUCUGCACAGAACCUCCCACUUUCACCUGUACAAAUGAUUCUCAGUAAGUGUAUCAAACAUCAAACUGAUAUGUUCAUUAUAAAAGUUGAACCCAGGGGGAGGACGAAUUACAAGCAUAUAGGCACUCAUAUAUCAACUAAAAGAAAGACAUAUCAGGGGUUCUGAUACACCCCUAUAAUGCCAUCCAGAUCAGAACUUGAUCAAGGACUUGAGACAUACAAAGGUUGAACCCGGGGGGAGGACAUAUUACGAGCAUAUAGGUACUCAUAUAUCAACUAAAAGACAUCAGGGGUUCUGAUACACCCCUAUAAUGCCGUCCAGAUCAGAACUUGAUCAAGGACUUGAGACAUACCUCAGCACCAUCGACAGCCUCAGUAAUGAGAGCUCCAUCCAGGGAAAGAUCCUCAAGGGCAAUAUCUCGCCCCUUGAUUGCCAUUGUAGAUCUUUCUGAAAUGGAGCAGUUUCCACUCACUUUGCUUUUUACUUCCGAGAAAGUAAGCGCCCAUUUUGGCUUCCACACAACUCGAGGCCCCUUGAUUGCUAUUGUAGAUCUUUCUGAAAUGGAGCAGUUUCCACUCACUUUGCUUUUUACUUCCGAGAAAGUAAGCGCCCAUUUUGGCUUCCACACAACUCGAGACCAUACUUCCACCUCCUGUCCGUUAAAGACUUGAAUAAUCGGAUCAUCUAUCUUGACACCAGCCUGUAAUAAAAAGAGAUGUCGUGUAACUGAUGCACACAACUAGAUCGACACAGGUUUACCAACUGAACUCAUCUGUGGCAGUGGCUAUUACGAAAGGGAAAAGUUCGG
rnacentral:lncRNA from 1 species